rnacentral:rRNA from 1 species
ACGUAGGAGACAAACGUUAUCCGGAGUUACUGGGCGUAAAGGGCGUGUAGGUGGUUCUGUAAGUCUGGCGUGAAAUUUCUCGGCUUAACCGAGGCAGGUCGUCGGAUACUGCAGGGCUAGAGGACGGUAGAGGCGUGUGGAAUUCCGGGUGUAGUGGUGAAAUGCGUAGAGAUCCGGAGGAACACCAGUGGCGAAGGCGACACGCUGGGCCGUACCUGACACUGAUGCGCGACAGCAUGGGGAGCAAACAGGA